UCUGGAGUACAAGCUCUAGAAACAGCUCUAGUAAAAAUUAGGGGAAUCCGGGAACAUUGGUCAAUAAGUGUCAGUGGAGUGUUAGAAGGCGGGUCUGUGAGUCUCAGUGGUGUGUUAGAGGGCAGGUCUGUGAGUGUCAGUGGUGUGUUAGAGAACAGGUCUGUGAAAGUCAGUGGUGCGUUAGAGGGCGGGUCUGUGAGUGUCAGUGGUGUGUUAGAGGGCAGGCUGUGAAGGUCAGUGGUGUGUUAGAGGGCAGGUCUGUGAGUGUCAGUGGUGUGUUAGAGAACAGGUCUGUGAGUGUCAGUGGUGUGUUAGAGGGCAGGUCUGUGAGUGUCAGUGGUGUGUUAGAGGGCAGGUCUGUGAGUGUCAGUGGUGCGUUAGAGGGCAGGUCUGUGAGUGUCAGUGGUGUGUUAGAGGGCAGGCUGUGAAGGUCAGUGGUGUGUUAGAGGGCAGUUCUGUGAGUGUCAGUGGUGUGUUAGAGGGCAGGCUGUGAGUGUCAGUGGUGUGUUAGAGGGCAGGUCUGUG